rnacentral:lncRNA from 1 species
CCACUAUACUCUGUUGAUUCUACCCUGCUUCUCUACGGUUUUUGCGAGUUGUACUUUCAAUUUCACUAUCAAAUAGUAAUGGUCCUGAUGGGUUUCUUCUAGUCAUAAACUAAAGAAACCUACCAGAAGUAAAUAAAAGAAAAAUUAGAAAACAAAAAUUAAUCUAAAAACAAAAAUAAAAUACAUUGAAAAUAAAUGGCUAAAUUAAUAAAAAUCUAGUGUUCCUAAUAUUUUAG